AUACAGAGGGUGCGAGCGUUAAUCGGAAUUACUGGGCGUAAAGCGCGCGUAGGCGGUCUAUUAAGUCAGAUGUGAAAUCCCAGGGCUCAACCUUGGAACUGCAUCUGAUACUGGUAGACUAGAGUUUUGGAGAGGGAAGUAGAAUUUCAGGUGUAGCGGUGAAAUGCAUAGAGAUCUGAAGGAAUACCAGUGGCGGAGGCGACUUCCUGGCCAAAAACUGACGCUGAGGUGCGAAAGCGUGGGUAGCAAACGGGAUUAGAAACCCCGGUAGUCC
rnacentral:rRNA from 1 species